AUUGAACGCUGGCGGCAGGCCUAACACAUGCAAGUCGAACGGUAACAGGAAACAGCUUGCUGUUUCGCUGACGAGUGGCGGACGGGUGAGUAAUGUCUGGGAAACUGCCUGAUGGAGGGGGAUAACUACUGGAAACGGUAGCUAAUACCGCAUAACGUCGCAAGACCAAAGAGGGGGACCCUCGGGCCUCUUGCCAUCGGAUGUGCCCAGAUGGGAUUAGCUUGUUGGUGGGGUAACGGCUCACCAAGGCGACGAUCCCUAGCUGGUCUGAGAGGAUGACCAGCCACACUGGAACUGAGACACGGUCCAGACUCCUACGGGAGGCAGCAGUGGGGAAUAUUGCACAAUGGGCGCAAGCCUGAUGCAGCCAUGCCGCGUGUAUGAAGAAGGCCUUCGGGUUGUAAAGUACCUUCAGCGGGGAGGAAGGGAGUAAAGUUAAUACCUUUGCUCAUUGACGUUACCCGCAGAAGAAGCACCGGCUAACUCCGUG
rnacentral:rRNA from 1 species